rnacentral:rRNA from 1 species
GACGUAGGGGGCAAGCGUUGUCCGGAAUCAUUGGGCGUAAAGCGCUCGUAGGUGGAUCGGUAAGUCUGCAAAGAAAGACCCGGGCUCAACUCGGGGAACGGUGUGGAUACUACCGAUCUUGAGGCAAUCAGAGGAUGAUGGAAUUCCCGGUGUAGCGGUGAAAUGCGUAGAUAUCGGAAGGAACACCAGUGGCGAAGGCGACCACCUGGACUGAUACUGACACUGAGGUGCGAAAGCGUGGGGAGCAAACAGG